rnacentral:rRNA from 1 species
CGAAUGCUGACAUAAGUAACGAUAAAGCGGGUGAAAAGCCCGCUCGCCGGAAGACCAAGGGUUCCUGUCCAACGUUAAUCGGGGCAGGGUGAGUCGACCCCUAAGGCGAGGCCGAAAGGCGUAGUCGAUGGGAAACAGGUUAAUAUUCCUGUACUUGGUGUUACUGCGAAGGGGGGACGGAGAAGGCUAUGUUGGCCGGGCGACGGUUGUCCCGGUUUAAGCGUGUAGGCUGGUUUUCCAGGCAAAUCCGGAAAAUCAAGGCUGAGGCGUGAUGACGAGGCACUACGGUGCUGAAGCAACAAAUGCCCUGCUUCCAGGAAAAGCCUCUAAGCAUCAGGUAACAUCAAAUCGUACCCCAAACCGACACAGGUGGUCAGGUAGAGAAUACCAAGGCGCUUGAGAGAACUCGGGUGAAGGAACUAGGCAAAAUGGUGCCGUAACUUCGGGAGAAGGCACGCUGAUAUGUAGGUGAAGUCCCUCGCGGAUGGAGCUGAAAUCAGUCGAAGAUACCAGCUGGCUGCAACUGUUUAUUAAAAACACAGCACUGUGCAAACACGAAAGUGGACGUAUACGGUGUGACGCCUGCCCGGUGCCGGAAGGUUAAUUGAUGGGGUUAGCGCAAGCGAAGCUCUUGAUCGAAGCCCCGGUAAACGGCGGCCGUAACUAUAACGGUCCUAAGGUAGCGAAAUUCCUUGUCGGGUAAGUUCCGACCUGCACGAAUGGCGUAAUGAUGGCCAGGCUGUCUCCACCCGAGACUCAGUGAAAUUGAACUCGCUGUGAAGAUGCAGUGUACCCGCGGCAAGACGGAAAGACCCCGUGAACCUUUACUAUAGCUUGACACUGAACAUUGAGCCUUGAUGUGUAGGAUAGGUGGGAGGCUUUGAAGUGUGGACGCCAGUCUGCAUGGAGCCGACCUUGAAAUACCACCCUUUAAUGUUUGAUGUUCUAACGUGGACCCGUAAUCCGGGUUGCGGACAGUGUCUGGUGGGUAGUUUGACUGGGGCGGUCUCCUCCUAAAGAGUAACGGAGGAGCACGAAGGUUGGCUAAUCCUGGUCGGACAUCAGGAGGUUAGUGCAAUGGCAUAAGCCAGCUUGACUGCGAGCGUGACGGCGCGAGCAGGUGCGAAAGCAGGUCAUAGUGAUCCGGUGGUUCUGAAUGGAAGGGCCAUCGCUCAACGGAUAAAAGGUACUCCGGGGAUAACAGGCUGAUACCGCCCAAGAGUUCAUAUCGACGGCGGUGUUUGGCACCUCGAUGUCGGCUCAUCACAUCCUGGGGCUGAAGUAGGUCCCAAGGGUAUGGCUGUUCGCCAUUUAAAGUGGUACGCGAGCUGGGUUUAGAACGUCGUGAGACAGUUCGGUCCCUAUCUGCCGUGGGCGCUGGAGAACUGAGGGGGGCUGCUC